rnacentral:rRNA from 1 species
UACGUAGGGACCAAGCGUUGUUCGGAUUUACUGGGCGUAAAGUGUGCGCAGGCGGCAGAGCAAGUCGAGUGUGAAAGCCCCGGGCUUAACUUGGGAAUUGCGCUCGAAACUACUUUGCUGGAGUGUGGCAGAGGAAGGUGGAAUUCCACGUGUAGCGGUGAAAUGCGUAGAGAUCGGGAGGAACAUCUGUGGCGAAGGCGGCCACCUGGACCAGCACUGACACUGAGGCACGAAAGCGUGGGGAGCAAACAGG